UACGAAGGGGGCUAGCGUUGCUCGGAAUCACUGGGCGUAAAGGGUGCGUAGGCGGGUCUUUAAGUCAGGGGUGAAAUCCUGGAGCUCAACUCCAGAACUGCCUUUGAUACUGAAGAUCUUGAGUUCGGGAGAGGUGAGUGGAACUGCGAGUGUAGAGGUGAAAUUCGUAGAUAUUCGCAAGAACACCAGUGGCGAAGGCGGCUCACUGGCCCGAUACUGACGCUGAGGCACGAAAGCGUGGGGAGCAAA
rnacentral:rRNA from 1 species